UCGGACGGGUGAGUAAUGUCUGGGAAACUGCCUGAUGGAGGGGGAUAACUACUGGAAACGGUAGCUAAUACCGCAUAACGUCGCAAGACCAAAGAGGGGGACCUUCGGGCCUCUUGCCAUCAGAUGUGCCCAGAUGGGAUUAGCUAGUAGGUGGGGUAACGGCUCACCUAGGCGACGAUCCCUAGCUGGUCUGAGAGGAUGACCAGCCACACUGGAACUGAGACACGGUCCAG
rnacentral:rRNA from 1 species